GAUGAACGCUAGCUACAGGCUUAACACAUGCAAGUCGAGGGACCGGCGCACGGGUGAGUAACACGUAUCCAACCUGCCCUUUACUCGGGGAUAGCCUUUCGAAAGAAAGAUUAAUACCCGAUGUAAAGGAUGGGGAUGCGUUCCAUUAGGUUGUUGGUGGGGUAACGGCUCACCAGGCCAUCGAUGGAUAGGGGUUCUGAGAGGAAGGUCCCCCACAUUGGAACUGGGACACGGUCAAAACUCCUAGGGGAGGAAGAAGUGAGGAAUAGUGGUAAAUGGGGGAUAGCCGGAACAAGCAAAGUAGGGUAGAUGAAGAAGGCCUAGGGUUGUAAAGUACUUUCAGUCGGGAGGCGUUAACGACAGAAGAAGCACCGGCUAACUCCGUGCCAGCAGCCGCGGUAAUAC
rnacentral:rRNA from 1 species